UUAUUAAACAUCGGGAGCUUGAUGAACAGGCUGAGAGUACGACUAAUGUCGUAGACCGAUUGAACCUGUUGGGUAAUGCCAGCGCAGGGAAUGUUAUUUUAGUCAAUA
rnacentral:ncRNA from 2 species